rnacentral:rRNA from 1 species
UACAGAGGGGGCAAGCGUUGUUCGGAAUUACUGGGCGUAAAGGGCGCGUAGGCGGCCUUCUAAGUCGAACGUGAAAUCCCCGGGCUCAACCCGGGAACUGCGUCCGAUACUGGAAGGCUUGAAUCCGGGAGAGGGAUGUGGAAUUCCAGGUGUAGCGGUGAAAUGCGUAGAUAUCUGGAGGAACACCGGUGGCGAAGGCGACAUCCUGGACCGGUAUUGACGCUGAGGCGCGAAAGCCAGGGGAGCAAACGGGG